rnacentral:misc_RNA from 1 species
UUUUGAAUAAAAGCUUAGUUGAGUAUUCCCAAUUUUUCAUUUGUAAUCAUUUAUCAUGUAGACCAAUUGUCAAGCAUGAGAUUGUACCCUCUUGCAGCACGUGUCGCAGUAGCCAUCCUUCGUUCUUGCCAUGGGAAUGAACUGAAACAAUCUGUUAGGUGCUGAUGAGAAAAUGGAGAAAGAUCUUGUGCAGAUUGCAGUUGGAGAUUCAGUGGAAACUGAGGAUGGUGGACAGUCAAUUAUUCAAGAUAGGCCUCCUUAUAAAGCUGAAGCUUUAAUUUCCAAUAUUAUGAUGAAUGAAUUUUAACUCAAUAGGACUAGAGCAUCAUCAAGCUAUGAAAGCAUUUGUAUCUUAUAGUUUUGUUUUAAGGGAUCAAAUUAAUUCAUGGGAAUGUGAUUUAGAAAUUAUGUUAUUUUCCCUUCUGUGAGGAGGCAACCCUUCACUCAAAGUUACAGGCUAUUUUGCCAAGUUUUACAGAAACUUGUCUCACACUUCUAGGUAUUCUCUACCUACCCAUUUACAUCAGUUUCGGGCACGUACCCUUUUUUUGAAAGAUAUAUAUAAUUUUUUCAAUAUGCUUGCUCGAGAAUUUUUGUUCAAUUGAAAGUUUUUUAAGACCAAUCUCAAGUUCGAAUAUUUAUUGAGGCUUUAAAAAAAAUUGGAAUAGAAUCCUAACCGAAACCUGUAAUGGAGGACAAAACUGGGAUCAUCUUUGGGCAGCAAUGGGUUGUAGAUAAUCUAAUUUGGCAUUGCUCAGUAAAUUAAAAGCUAUUAAUCCAAAAAUGAUGUGUAGUUGUUGCAGCAAAACGUUGAGAGAAAACACAAGAUUUUAAAAAGAAAGCAAAAUCUUUGACUGACUAUUUGCAUCUCGCAAGGAAAAAUGACAGAAUAUAUGCCUGCGUGAUCCCUCUCCAAAUGCUCGAGUGCAAAUUAUAUAUGAAAUACAGUCAUCUAAGAACAUUAACCUGUAAAAUGAUACCUAACGUGUAAAAUGAUACCUAAUGCCACGGAUUCCUCUUAGUAGUUGCACUUCUUUUUGUUCUAGUUGUUGAGCUUGUUUUCGAUCUUGGUUUUUUGGUCUUCCCUCGGAUCCUGUUCCUAGGAGGUUUCAAUUUGUAAAUGCGGACCAUCCAAUGGUGAGUU